GCGGCGGUGGUGAAAUGGUAGACACGCAAGCUUGAGGUGCUUGUGGACAUUAGUCCGUGGAGGUUCAAGUCCUCUUCGCCGCA
rnacentral:tRNA from 1 species